rnacentral:rRNA from 1 species
UACGGGGGGGGCAAGCGUUGUUCGGAAUUACUGGGCGUAAAGGGCGCGUAGGCGGACAGUUUAGUCAGAGGUGAAAGCCCAGGGCUCAACCUUGGAAUUGCCUUUGAUACUGGCUGUCUUGAGUUCGGAAGAGGCGAGUGGAAUUCCCGGUGUAGCGGUGAAAUGCGCAGAUAUCGGGAGGAACACCUAUGGCGAAGGCAGCUCGCUGGGACGUUACUGACGCUGAGACGCGAAAGCGUGGGGAGCAAACAGG